AUUGAACGCUGGCGGCAUGCCUUACACAUGCAAGUCGAACGGUAACAGGUUAAGCUGACGAGGGGCGAACGGGUGAGUAAUGUAUCGGAACGUGCCUAGUCGUGGGGGAUAACUACUCGAAAGAGUGGCUAAUACCGCAUACGACCUGAGGGUGAAAAAGGGGGACCGUAAGGCCUCGCGCCAUUGGAGCGGCCGAUAUCAGAUUAGCUAGUUGGUGGGGUAAAAGCCCACCAAGGCGACGAUCUGUAGCUGGGCUGAGAGGACGACCAGCCACACUGGGACUGAGACACGGCCCAGACUCCUACGGGAGGCAGCAGUGGGGAAUUUUGGACAAUGGACGCAAGUCUGAUCCAGCCAUGCCGCGUGCGGGAAAAAGGCCUUCGGGUUGUAAACCGCUUUUGUCAGGGAAGAAACGAGUUUCUCUAAUGCAGAGACUUAAUGACGGUACCUGAAGAAUAAGCACCGGCUAACUACGUGCCAGCCGCCGCGGUAACAC
rnacentral:rRNA from 1 species